rnacentral:rRNA from 1 species
UACGUAGGGUGCAAGCGUUGUCCGGAAUUAUUGGGCGUAAAGAGCUUGUAGGCGGUUUGUCGCGUCUGCUGUGAAAUUUCGGGGCUCAACCCCGGACUUGCAGUGGGUACGGGCAGACUAGAGUGUGGUAGGGGAGACUGGAAUUCCUGGUGUAGCGGUGAAAUGCGCAGAUAUCAGGAGGAACACCGAUGGCGAAGGCAGGUCUCUGGGCCAUAACUGACGCUGAGGCACGAAGGCCAGGGGAGCAAACGGG